UACGGGGGGGGCAAGCGUUGUUCGGAAUUACUGGGCGUAAAGGGCGCGUAGGGGGCCUGCUAAGUCGGAUGUGAAAUCCCUCGGCUCAACCGAGGAACUGCAUCCGAUACUGGCGGGCUUGAAUCCGGGAGAGGGAUGUGGAAUUCCAGGUGUAGCGGUGAAAUGCGUAGAUAUCUGGAGGAACACCGGUGGCGAAGGCGGCAUCCUGGACCGGUAUUGACGCUGAGGCGCGAAAGCUAGGGGAGCAAACGGG
rnacentral:rRNA from 1 species